UGGGGAAUUUUGGACAAUGGGGGAAACCCUGAUCCAGCCAUCCCGCGUGUGCGAUGAAGGCCUUCGGGUUGUAAAGCACUUUUGGCAGGAAAGAAACGUCGCGGGUUAAUACCCCGCGAAACUGACGGUACCUGCAGAAUAAGCACCGGCUAACUACGUGCCAGCAGCCGCGGUAAUACGUAGGGUGCAAGCGUUAAUCGGAAUUACUGGGCGUAAAGCGUGCGCAGGCGGUUCGGAAAGAAAGAUGUGAAAUCCCAGAGCUUAACUUUGGAACUGCAUUUUUUAACUACCGGGCUAGAGUGUGUCAGAGGGAGGUGGAAUUCCGCGUGUAGCAGUGAAAUGCGUAGAUAUGCGGAGGAACACCGAUGGCGAAGGCAGCCUCCUGGGAUAACACUGACGCUCAUGCACGAAAGCGUGGGGAGCAAACAGGAUUAGAUACCCUGGUAGUCCACGCCCUAAACGAUGUCAACUAGCUGUUGGGGCCUUCGGGCCUUGGUAGCGCAGCUAACGCGUGAAGUUGACCGCCUGGGGAGU
rnacentral:rRNA from 1 species